GAAACCUGCCGCCGCUCGCCGCCUCUUUGUCUGCUCCGGGACUUGGAACAAAAGGGGGAAUUCUGAUGAACUCUCUUUCCUCCCCUCUCCCCCGGGCGCCGGGGUAUCUCUCACAACUUUGCCGCCGCGACUUUCUCUGCUGUCAGGCCAGGAAAAAGUGUCCCAGCGCCUCGCAGACUGCAGCGGGGGAAAGGUCUCUUAAAAGUACGACGAAGUGGGGAAGAAGCCAACAAGAUGGAAGUACCAAGACAAGGUCAAAUCAUUCCUGGAUGGAAAGUCAUUACACUUCUUUAUCUGGAGUUACUUAAAAGUUAGCAGUGGCAUUUUUGAUGAUACCUUUUCUAUAUGGAUUACAAUUUGAUCGCUGGGAAUUCUCCACCUUGAAGAAGCACCCUCAGGUGACUCCAGAUGUGUUAACACCCAGUAUAUUCAGGUGUGAAUCAUGGCAAUGCAGUGAAAGACAGUGAUUUACAACUUUUGAGGGCAUGCGUGUAUAUGAUUAAGGGAUGGAGGUGAAGGACUCCAAGAUUUACUUCCUUCCCUUUCCAGCAGAGUUACCUGAGAGGAGUGAGUAAUGGGAUCAUUUGCAACACCACAGGCCCCUUUUCAAGAGACCGGUAAUCAAAACAGGAAGACAAAACUGAGACGAUUUCAACUGGGAGAAUACAACUUUUGAUACUUUCUGGAUAUACCCUUAGCAAAUAGGAGCGUCUUCAGAGUUUUCCUGUUUUAUAUUUUCAUGGAGAUUUUCGUU